UUGUGGUUAAAAAGCUCGUAGUUGGAUCUCAACAGUCUUGAAGCGGUCAACUUUGUAGUUGUACUGCUUUGUAGACUGUGCUUUUGCUGGAGGUUUAGGGGUGCUCUUAAUCGAGUGUCUCUGGAUGCCAGCAGGUUUACUUUGAAAAAAUUAGAGUGCUCAAAGCAGGCUAAAAUGCCUGAAUAUUCGUGCAUGGAAUAAUAGAGUAGGAUGUCGAUCCUAUUUUGUUGGUUUUCGGGACUUGACAUAAUGAUUAAUAGGGACAGUCGGGGGCAUUUGUAUUC
rnacentral:rRNA from 1 species